UACGUAGGGGGCGAGCGUUGUCCGGAUUUAUUGGGCGUAAAGAGCUCGUAGGCGGUUUGGUAAGUCGGAUGUGAAAUCUCCACGCUCAACGUGGAGGCGCCAUUCGAUACUGCCAUGACUUGAGUACGGUAGAGGAGUGUGGAAUUCCUGGUGUAGCGGUGAAAUGCGCAGAGAUCAGGAGGAACACCCGUAGCGAAGGCGGCACUCUGGGCCGAUACUGACGCUGAGGAGCGAAAGCGUGGGGAGCAAACAGG
rnacentral:rRNA from 1 species